GCUGAUGACUGUUUGUUUCAUCUGUCUGUUACUUGACACCGCAUGGUUAUUCCAAUACGUAUGUUUGCCUCUUCCCCACCAUGAUCUCUGUUUGGUUUCCCCUUGCCCGAUAACUAUUUAAAUACAUUUUACUAACUUUGGAUUCCUUGCUCGCUCCACUUCACCUGGCUGGGCAGGUCUGCGAGGGCUCCGGGGGGUUUAGCUCCUCCGUUUUUAUUGCUUUAUUUAUUUCUUUCUCAGGGGUUGUUUCUCUUAAGAUAACCAUGUUCAGGAGGAAAGUCUGAAGCACAUAAAUAAUGGGAAGUGCUAAUAGCAAGCAGGCUGCUGUAAAACGUGCUGGGGCUUUGACUUAAGGGAAGAAAUCUCAGCUCUGCCUUGUCCCUGACCAAGGAGCUGGAGCACAGAAGGAAGAGGGAGUUUGCAUUUCCCAGGGAAAAAAAAAAAAACAAACCACCACCUCCUGUUGCACAGUGAAGAGGAAACUGGAAGAAGCUUCCAUCUUGCUCAGGACAAGACCACUGGCUGGCUUUUGCUUCUCAAAGGGAGGAAAAUAGUGUGGCCUCCAGAGAUAAUACCUGGAGGCAAGGAAAACAGAUUCAACAAAAUCCUUGUCCAAACCCUGGAAAUAUCCAGAAGAUAUAAAGGAGAAGAGUUCACUCAAGAUCAAAAAAUGCUGAAGGUCGAAAUCAUCCCGGGACGCUGCUUCUGUAGAAUCCACAUCACUGGACUAUUUCUACCUCCUCACUAAAGAUGUUCAGAAAUGGAGCCAAAUACAAGCAUGAGAGGGAGUUCUAAAGAUGAGAAGCAAAAAUUACAUGGCAGGUAUGUACCUGUACUUCCCACUCAUUAACAGUUAAGGAUUAAAUGCAAGAAUGGGGAUGGCCUUUUAUUUGUCUUUUCUUCUUUUCUUGCUGCAUUAGACACAAAAAUGUACGUGUGGGGCAGGAGAGUGGAACUCACGUUUGAAACAUCUUUGUACAAAGUAAAAUGGGGAAACUCUAUUAACCCUGGCUUAUUUCUGGUGUAAAUCUAUUGUAGUUCUACAUACGUCAUUGGAAUUGUAUGGCUGGAAGGACAGAAUCAAGAUUCACUGUGAAACUUUGUCUAAAAAUAGGUUGGCUGAGGUUUUUUUUUAAAUAGAAAAGGAAGGUGAGGAGUGUUUUUGUUUGAAGAAACGGCAGAGCCUGAGUAAUUUUGCUGAUUAAGUCCAGUUCUUCUGACUUUUCAUACUUUGACCAGCGCUGGGUCAUCAUAGGGAAAAUCGUGCCCUUUCCAGGAGUCUCCCUGAGAUGGGCCAAAGGGAAAUCAUGGAUUCAGGCAGCUGGA
rnacentral:lncRNA from 1 species